AACGAACGCUGGCGGCAGGCCUAACACAUGCAAGCGAGGGGGAAGCCACUUUCGGGUGGUGGAGACCGGCGCACGGGUGAGUAACGCGUGGGCAUCUGCCCUGGGUGGGGGAUAACCGCUGGAAACGGCGGCUAAUACCGCAUACGCCUUGAGAGGGAAAGAGUUUAUCGCCCUGGGAUGAGCCCGCGUUGGAUUAGCUUGUUGGUGAGGUAAAGGCUCACCAAGGCGACGAUCCAUAGCUGGUCUGAGAGGAUGAUCAGCCACACUGGGACUGAGACACGGCCCAGACUCCUACGGGAGGCAGCAGUGGGGAAUAUUGGACAAUGGGGGCAACCCUGAUCCAGCCAUGCCGCGUGUGUGAAGAAGGCCUUAGGGUUGUAAAGCACUUUCACCGGUGAAGAUGAUGACGGUAGCCGGAGAAGAAGCCCCGGCUAACUCCGUG
rnacentral:rRNA from 1 species